GUCAUGUAACGUUAGCCUACACCCAUUUUACGCUUGAAGCUUUACCUGAUUGAAUUAUGUUUUUGUUUUAUUUUUUUCAGCUGCCACA